rnacentral:rRNA from 1 species
UGGGGAAUUUUGGACAAUGGGCGAAAGCCUGAUCCAGCAAUGCCGCGUGUGUGAAGAAGGCCUUCGGGUUGUAAAGCACUUUUGUCCGGAAAGAAAUCCUUGGCUCUAAUACAGUCGGGGGAUGACGGUACCGGAAGAAUAAGCACCGGCUAACUACGUGCCAGCAGCCGCGGUAAUACGUAGGGUGCAAGCGUUAAUCGGAAUUACUGGGCGUAAAGCGUGCGCAGGCGGUUUGCUAAGGCCGAUGUGAAAUCCCCGGGCUCAACCUGGGAACUGCAUUGGUGACUGGCAGGCUAGAGUAUGGCAGAGGGGGGUAGAAUUCCACGUGUAGCAGUGAAAUGCGUAGAGAUGUGGAGGAAUACCGAUGGCGAAGGCAGCCCCCUGGGCCAAUACUGACGCUCAUGCACGAAAGCGUGGGGAGCAAACAGGAUUAGAUACCCUGGUAGUCCACGCCCUAAACGAUGUCAACUAGUGUUGGGGAUUCAUUCCUUAGUAACGUAGCUAACGCGUGAAGUUGACCGCCUGGGGAGUACGGUCGCAAGAUUAAAACUCAAAUGAAUUGACGGGGUCAUAGCUGUUUCCU